rnacentral:rRNA from 1 species
CCUACGGGAGGCAGCAGUGGGGAAUCUUGCGCAAUGGGGGAAACCUUGACGCAGCAACGCCGCGUGGGUGAUGAAGGCCUUCGGGUCGUAAAGCCCUGUCAGGUGGGAAGAAACAUGUCGGUGCUAAUAUCACCGAUGUUUGACGGUACCGCCGGAGGAAGCACCGGCUAACUCCGUGCCAGCAGCCGCGGUAAUACGGAGGGUGCAAGCGUUGUUCGGAAUUACUGGGCGUAAAGCGCGUGUAGGCGGUCGGGCAAGUCAGAUGUGAAAGCCUUCCGCUUAACGGAAGAAGUGCAUUUGAAACUACCCCGCUGGAGUACGGGAGAGGAGAGUGGAAUUCCCGGUGUAGAGGUGAAAUUCGUAGAUAUCGGGAGGAACACCAGUGGCGAAGGCGGCUCUCUGGUCCGAUACUGACGCUGAGACGCGAAAGCGUGGGGAGCAAACAGGAUUAGAUACCCUGGUAGUCCACGCCGUAAACGAUGGGCACUAGGUGUAGGAGGUAUUGACCCCUUCUGUGCCGAAGUUAACGCAUUAAGUGCCCCGCCUGGGGAGUACGGCCGCAAGGCUAAAACUCAAAGGAAUUGACGG